rnacentral:rRNA from 1 species
GACGAACGCUGGCGGCGUGCUUAACACAUGCAAGUCGAGCGGUAAGGCCCUUUCGGGGGUACACGAGCGGCGAACGGGUGAGUAACACGUGGGUGACCUGCCCUCAGCUCUGGGAUAAGCCUGGGAAACCGGGUCUAAUACUGGAUAUGACUCCAUGACGCAUGUUGUGGGGUGAAAGCCUUGUGCGGCUGAGGAUGGGCCCNCGGCCUAUCAGCUUGUUGGNGGGUGAUGGCCUACAAGGCGACGACGGGUAGCCGGCCUGAGAGGGCGACCGGCCACACUGGGACUGAGACACGGCCCAGACUCCUACGGGAGGCAAGCAGUGGGAAUCUUGCGCAAUGGGCGAAAGCCUGACGCAGCGACG